rnacentral:tRNA from 2 species
UCCCGUUCGUCUAGAGGCCUAGGACACCGCCCUUUCACGGCGGCAACAGGGGUUCGAAUCCCCUACGGGAUGCCAA